rnacentral:rRNA from 1 species
AGUGAACGCUGGCGGUAGGCCUAACACAUGCAAGUCGAACGGCAGCACAGUAAGAGCUUGCUCUUACGGGUGGCGAGUGGCGGACGGGUGAGGAAUACAUCGGAAUCUACUUUUUCGUGGGGGAUAACGUAGGGAAACUUACGCUAAUACCUCAUACGACCUACGGCUGAAAGCAGGGGAUCUUCGUACCUUGCGUGAUUGUAUGAGCCGAUGUCGGAUUAGCUAGUUGGCGUGGUAAAGGCCCACCAAGGCGACGAUCCGUAGCUGGUCUGAGAGGAUGAUCAGCCACACUGGAACUGAGACACGGUCCAGACUCCUACGGGAGGCAGCAGUGGGGAAUAUUGGACAAUGGGCGCAAGCCUGAUCCAGCCAUACCGCGUGGGUGAAGAAGGCCUUCAGGUUGUAAAGCCCUUUUGUUGGGAAAGAAAAGCAGCAGGUGAAUACCCCGAUGUUCUGACGGUACCCAAAGAGUAAGCACCGGCUAACUUCGUG